rnacentral:lncRNA from 1 species
GAUGUAGCUGACCUAUCAUGGAGGAGCAGGAUGAUGAUGUAGCUGACCUAUCAUGGAGGAGCAGGAUGAUGAUGUAGCUGACCUAUCAUGGAGGAGAAGGAUGAUGAUGUAGCUGACCUAUCAUGGAGGAGCAGGAUGAUGAUGUAACUGACCUAUCAUGGAGGAGCAGGGGUGAUGAUGUAGCUGACCUAUCAUGGAGGAGCAGGAUUGAUGAUGUAGCUGACCUAUCAUGGAGGAGCAGGAUGAUGAUGUAGCUGACCUAUCAUGGAGGAGCAGGGUGAUGAUGUAGCUGACCUAUCAUGGAGGAGCAGGAUGAUGAUGUAGCUGACCUAUCAUGGAGGAGCAGGUGUGAUGAUGUAGCUGACCUAUCAUGGAGGAGCAGGAUGAUGAUGUAGCUGACCUAUCAUGGAGGAGCAGGAUGAUGAUGUAGCUGACCUAUCAUGGAGGAGCAGGAUGAUGAUGUAGCUGACCUAUCAUGGAGGAGCAGGAUGAUGAUGUAGCUGACCUAUCAUGGAGAAGCAGGGGUGAUGAUGUAGCUGACCUAUCAUGGAGGAGCAGGGUGAUGAUGUAGCUGACCUAUCAUGGAGGAGCAGGAUGAUGAUGUAGCUGACCUAUCAUGGAGGAGCAGGAGUGAUGAUGUAGCUGACCUAUCAUGGAGGAGCAGGAUGAUGAUGUAGCUGACCUAUCAUGGAGGAGCAGGUUGAUGAUGUAGCUGACCUAUCAUGGAGGAGCAGGAUGAUGAUGUAGCUGACCUAUCAUGGAGGAGCAGGGUGAUGAUGUAGCUGACCUAUCGUGGAGGAGCAGGAUGAUGAUGUAG